UACGUAGGGAGCAAGCGUUGUUCGGAUUUACUGGGCGUAAAGGGCGCGUAGGCGGCCUGUCAAGUCAAUUGUGAAAUCUCCGGGCUUAACUCGGAACGGUCAAUUGAUACUGUCAGGCUAGAGUGCAGAAAGGGCAAUCGGAAUUCUUGGUGUAGCGGUGAAAUGCGUAGAUAUCAAGAGGAACACCUGAGGCGAAGGCGGGUUGCUAGGCUGACACUGACGCUGAGGCGCGAAAGCCAGGGGAGCAAACGGG
rnacentral:rRNA from 1 species